CCCGCCGGACCUGACUGCUAUCGGAUUGAUACUAAGCCAUGCGAGUCAUUGUAGCAAUACAAGGCAGACGGCUCAGUAACACGUAGUCAAUCUACCCUAUGGACGGGGAUAACCUCGGGAAACUGAGAAUAAUACCCGAUAGACCAUUAUGCCUGGAACGGUUUAUGGUCAAAAUAAUUUAUUGCCGUAGGAUGGGACUGCGACCUAUCAGUUUGUUGGUGAGGUAAUGGCCCACCAAGACUAUUACAGGUACGGGCUCUGAGAGGAGUAGCCCGGAGAUGGGUACUGAGACACGGACCCAGGCCCUAUGGGGCGCAGCAGGCGAGAAAACUUUGCAAUGUGCGAAAGCACGACAAGGUUAAUCCGAGUGUUUUCUGCUAAAGAAAUCUUUUGUCAGUCCUAAAAACACUGAUGAAUAAGGGGUGGGCAAGUUCUGGUGUCAGCCGCCGCGGUAAAACCAGCACCUCAAGUGGUCAGGAGGAUUAUUGGGCCUAAAGCAUCCGUAGCCGGCUCUGUAAGUUUUCGGUUAAAUCUAUACGCUCAACGUAUAGGCUGCCGGGAAUACUGCAAAGCUAGGGAGUGGGAGAGGUAGACGGUACUCGGUAGGAAGGGGUAAAAUCCUUUGAUCUAUUGAUGACCACCUGUGGCGAAGGCGGUCUACCAGAACACGUCCGACGGUGAGGGAUGAAAGCUGGGGGAGCAAACCGGAUUAGAUACCCGGGUAGUCCCAGCUGUAAACUAUGCAAACUCAGUGAUGCACUGGCUUGUGGCCAGUGCAGUGCCGCAGGGAAGCCGUUAAGUUUGCCGCCUGGGAAGUACGUACGCAAGUAUGAAACUUAAAGGAAUUGGCGGGGGAGCACCACAA
rnacentral:rRNA from 1 species